CCGUUUAAUUUUGCUGUUUUAUGCUGUUAUAAGCUGAUGUGCAUUGAAUCCGAUGAGAAAUUGGAAAUUUCCUUGAUUUUUGUGGAUCUAUUCCUCCUAUCUUACUGCCGUCUGUUGAUUUUGCUGUUUAGAUUGAAACGGCGAAUUGGGGUUAAUGUUGUUUUAUUAAUCCUCUGUUACUGCUUGUGUUGAUUUUGGUGUUUUGAUUUAAGCAGUGAAAUUGGGGGAAAUUUGUUUCUGAUUUGGUGUUGUUUGAUUUGGUCUUAUCUUGUUUGGGGCAUUAUGUAUUGGUUUAUUAGUAUUUACAUGUGAUUGAUUUUAGCUGCCUUCAUCAUUUUUCAGCUGAGAUGAUUAGUAUUCUGUUUUUGCAUAUUUUUCAGCUGAGAUGAUUAGUAUUCUGUUUUUGCAUAUUUUUCAGCUGAGAUGAUUAGUAGGAGUAGUAUCUAUUUUGAUUCUAGCUGGAAUCUCGUCUUUUUCUUGCGCAGGGGACCUGCAUCUUGCUUCCCCACAUGGACUGAUGAAACCGAACUAGGAUAUCUCGAAAAAACUCAUUCUUGGUUCGUGGAUUAAAGGUUGGUGUCCACAGUUCCCGUUUUUCGCCUGUACAAUUUGGAUGAGAAGUUGCUUAAUCUUAAUCUGGGAAGUGGUUGGUAGAUAUUCGAAGAACCAAUUUCCAAUGCGAUGGCCGAUGCUAAGGUGACUUGCUGCUCGCCUGUUCUGGUUCUCUUUGUUAUUGUCCCUAUUUUGUUGCCAGUAAUCAUACAUUGAAGUGUGCUAAGAUCACACUCCAAAAUGAAAAUAAGAUGAGGAAAUUGAGCAUAGCACAUUCAGUUUCUCUCAUCUAGAAUCUUAAUUAUGGAUCCGUGUGUAGAUUUGUUGACAAAAUUGUAUAAUUAUGUAUAAUUAUAAUAUACAUCUGAACUUGAGAAUCUUUGAGAUAUUAGUACAUAUUCACCAUUGGAUGGUCUGCUCUGUGCUGAUCACGAUCGAGCUUCUGGGGAAGGUGUCAACCCACAAGAGUACAAUCUCAUGAAAUGGAGGUUGUUUCGCCUUUCCCACCUAAGAUGAGUGUUCUGGACGGGAAGAAGGGAAGCUCUGCAUUUGACUCAUCAGAUGCUGUCUCGUGUUCCUGAGAAACCUGCUUGUUUGGUCGAGUUAACUGGUCAAGAUCUUAUUGAGAUCCCUGUUGGCAUACACCAAUGUUAUAUACACUCUACCCAUGUUAGUUAUCAGUGCUUACGGACAAUGGUACGGGAAAUGUCACCAGUGUUCGUUUCCGAGUGAUUCUCCUGACGACUACAUGAUUUGGAAGCAAAACCGGCAUCCAGAGUGAAGGAUGAGCGGGGUGUUCUGUUUGAGAUCAUCCACCAUCUUGGUUUUGGUGACAAGCCUGCUGAGAGGAUUUGCAGUGACAAAAAGAUCAAAAGCCAAAACGAGAAAGAGAAGCUCGAUGAGCCAAAAAAAUAGUCUACAAGGGGACCAUGAUUUCCGGAGGCUGAAAAUUUGAUAAGGGCAAAGCUUCUAGAGCUGGUCUACAGCGAGCCUGAAAAGAAAGCCGUGUCAAGAUCGUUGUUGUGUUGACUGAUCAGUGGUACAUCAAAUAUGGAGACGAUGAAUUGUGGAAGGCUGCAGAGGAAUGCUUGUCUGGGUUGAGCACGUCACGCCUUGAGCUGGCUGGCUCAGUGGGCGUACUCACAAAAUUUUGUGCUUGGAACUCGUAUCCCGUGGGAUGAGGGCUUCCUGGUGGAGUCUCUGUACGAUAUCUCAUAUUCUGCAGGGAGGCGAUAUGUACCGGAGGAAACCGGUCUUUCGUAAAGCCAGAGCAGCUGACUGAUGAGGUGUGGGAUUUCAUGUUUCUUUCUUACCGGUCCGUAUCCUAAAUCCUCAGAUAUUUCUUCAUCUCUUCUUGAUGAGAUGAAGCAAGAAUUCGAGUAUUGGUAUCCAUUUGUUCUUAGAGUUUCGAGGAAAUAUCUGAUUCAGAAUCAGUUGAUCUGAGUAUAGGCUCUCUUGCGAGGCCAGAGGGAGGGAGAAUCUUGAAAUGAUUCAGUUUCAGCUGGGGCUUGAACGCGUGGAGGUCUUGAACGAUGCUGAUGUCAUUGCUCGUGCUGGGGACCAUGCGGCCGUUUUGAAUUCCAACCCGCCAUCACCGGGAGUCCCUACCUGAGCUACCUCGGGUUUCAUGAAUGAGUAGAAAAGAGCAGAAAUGAAACACUUCAACUAAUUUGGGACGGGCCAUUUCUCGAUUCAUGCGUGUCAUCUUUAAGGCCAUCCAAUUUUAUCGGAUGUGCCCGAAGUGACUUAUUAACUUGAGACAAAGGGAGUAUAUUCUUUUCCCCUUUUCUUUUGCUUUCCUUCUUUAAAAAGCAACCAAUUCUAUUAAAUUUGUGACAUGUGUUCAUAUCAAUUUCCUUGGUUUUGUUUGUUUC